AAACCAGCACCUCAAGUGGUCAGGAUGAUUAUUGGGCCUAAAGCAUCCGUAGCCGGCUCAGUAAGUUUUCGGUUAAAUCUGUACGCUCAACGUACAGGCUGCCGGGAAUACUGCAGAGCUAGGGAGUGGGAGAGGUAGACGGUACUCGGGAGGAAGUGGUAAAAUGCUUUGAUCUUUCGAUGACCACCUGUGGCGAAGGCGGUCUACCAGAACACGUCCGACGGUGAGGGAUGAAAGCUGGGGGAGCAAACCGGAUUAGAAACCCCUGUAGUCC
rnacentral:rRNA from 1 species